rnacentral:lncRNA from 10 species
ACUUGUGGGUGGACUCCAUACUUCUCUGCUGAGGAACAGGAAGUCCAUCCCUCAUCACUGAAUGUGGACACGCAUGAGCCUUAGGAAGCAGUCAGCUUUUCUUGUUUUGUUUCCCAAAGUUACAUUUACUGACUUGUAUCUGGCUCCAUGAGGCCAGGACAUGGUCAUGGUGGUCAGUCUAGUCUAAAGAUCUUAGUUCCAAAGACAGGGAUGCUUCCAUGAAGCACAAAGUGUUGGUUCCAUUAAACUGGAAGUUGAGAUUGUCAUCUUGGCAAAGAAAGGAGUGCCUGUACUAGCUGAUGUGACUAUUCUGACUAUCAAGUGGAAAUUGGUUUGCUACUCCACAGUGUGGGUAAGGAGGCUGUCCCGAAUGCAGGAGAACCU